GCCGCUGUGUGAUGGAAGGGUUGGCAACGGUGCUGCUCCUGUACGCGCUCGUUGUGCUCGCCCUUGAGUCCCCGCUCGUGUUCGCCCUGCUCCUGGGCAGCGGCGCCGCUGGUGCGCAGAAGCUCCACCUCUCCGCCGCGGGCGUCAUGGCGCUCCCCGCCAAGGAGCCCUGCCCCGUGACCGUUGUCACCGGCUUGUUG
rnacentral:lncRNA from 1 species